rnacentral:tRNA from 1 species
CGGGGCGUGGCGCAGUUUGGUAGCGCGCCUGUUUUGGGUGCAGGAAGUCGGAGGUUCGAAUCCUCUCGCCCCGACCA